rnacentral:rRNA from 1 species
UGGCGGACGGGUGAGUAAUGCCUAGGAAUCUGCCUGGUAGUGGGGGAUAACGUUCGGAAACGAACGCUAAUACCGCAUACGUCCUACGGGAGAAAGCAGGGGACCUUCGGGCCUUGCGCUAUCAGAUGAGCCUAGGUCGGAUUAGCUAGUUGGUGAGGUAAUGGCUCACCAAGGCGACGAUCCGUAACUGGUCUGAGAGGAUGAUCAGUCACACUGGAACUGAGACACGGUCCAGACUCCUACGGGAGGCAGCAGUGGGGAAUAUUGGACAAUGGGCGAAAGCCUGAUCCAGCCAUGCCGCGUGUGUGAAGAAGGUCUUCGGAUUGUAAAGCACUUUAAGUUGGGAGAAAGGGCAGUUACCUAAUACGUGAUUGUUUUGACGUUACCGACAGAAUAAGCACCGGCUAACUCUGUGCCAGCAGCCGCGGUAAU